rfam:Yonghaparkia sp. Root332 contig_1, whole genome shotgun sequence.
GGGGAUGAUCGGUUUCGACAUUGCCUGCGAAACGAUGAGAAGCGGGUCGAGGAUGCAGGGUUAUCUCGUAAACGAUCUCUGCAAACAACAGGUGCCAAUGCUAAGCGCACCGACUUCGCUCUCGCCGCCUAAGGCAGAGUAGAUAAGUCCGUCAGCCCGGGUUCGCCUCCGCCCCGGUCGCUGGCGUCAUCAAGGAGGCUCGCUGCGUGCCUGCGUCUCAGGUGCACGCGGGACUUUCACUGAGGCUGGGCUCGUCGACCUAGGGGUCUGCAACAAAGGUCGGAGCCGAGCAGAACGUCUCAGCAGACUACGCCCGUAGAAGGCAUCGGAUCACAGCAGUGGACGGGGGUUCGAUUCCCCCCAUCUCCACCA